rnacentral:rRNA from 1 species
CCUACGGGAGGCAGCAGUGAGGAAUAUUGGUCAAUGGCCGUAAGGCUGAACCAGCCAAGUCGCGUGAAGGAAGAAGGACCUAUGGUUUGUAAACUUCUUUUAUAGGGGAAUAAAGGUAUCCACGUGUGGAUAUUUGCAUGUACCCUAUGAAUAAGCAUCGGCUAACUCCGUGCCAGCAGCCGCGGUAAUACGGAGGAUGCGAGCGUUAUCCGGAUUUAUUGGGUUUAAAGGGUGCGUAGGUUGUUUUUUAAGUCAGCGGUGAAAGUUUGUGGCUCAACCAUAAAAUUGCGGUUGAAACUGGCAGACUUGAGUGUGUUUGAGGUAGGCGGAAUGCGUGGUGUAGCGGUGAAAUGCAUAGAUAUCACGCAGAACUCCGAUUGCGAAGGCAGCUUACUAAGCCAUAACUGACACUGAAGCACGAAAGCGUGGGGAUCAAACAGGAUUAGAUACCCUUGUAGUC